GCAGCCGCUCCCGGCCUGCCGAAGUUUCACUUUUUGUCUGUGGGUUCGUUCCCGGGGCCCGCUCGAGCUUUCCCGGGAUAAGUAGCCUUAGCGGCGGGGGAAGAGCCGGCCGCUGCAAGGAUCUGAAGAGAACCUUGGCAGCUAGAGUGUUGGAAGAGGCUUGAAAAGAGGGCAGCUCAGGGUCUGCGCCCUAAGAGCUGCUUGGGACACUUCUUAAGGCUGGUCUCCAUCAAGAAGGCUGGAUGACUUAUCUUCGAGUUCAUGUGCUUACCGAAAUAUAGACACAUGAUCAAAAUAAGCAUGGAGGGUCCAUCUGGACCGAAGAACUGGAAACUGCUUCUUGAGUACAUAGCGGAUGAUUCGAGGCUAGCUGCUUGACUUUUGGAUAAGGAAAUGUGAGCCCUGAUAGAGCUGAUUUGCACAGCAUCAUACAACUGUUCUGGGCUUAGGACUUGUGCACCAUUUCUUUGCCUGGGGCUGUUUGUGACUUGACAACUCCUUGGGGUCAGAAGAAGCAGCCUAACAGUGCAGUCCCAACAGCCAGAAAUUUGUUUAUAAUUUGGAAAAGGACUUACCUCACCUCUGAAUAGCUUAAUAAUCAACAGUAGAGUAGGUUCAUACUAAGACAUGGGGCCCCCGGAAGCCAAAGAUAUGGUAGUUGGGGGUCACAUCUCUGAGCACUCAACAAAUCUCCUAUGUGUCCUUUCAUUCUUUCUCCUUUGAUUUGGGCCUUAGUCAAUUUGACUAGAUUUAUUCCUGUUUAGCUUCACGGUCCAACGUGGUCCUCAAACAUUUCACAGAUUUGCACUGUCUGAUUUGCCUUCCCUCUCCUGACAACCAUGCCCUGCCAACAGUCCAGCUUGACUGUGUGUCUAUGAUCCUGAUGUCUGUCUCAUCAUAAUAAUUCAUGCUCUCUGCUUCUGGGAUACCUCACUCAGGAUGAUCUAUUCCAGUUCCCACCAUUUGCCUGCAAAUUUCAUGAUUUCCUUGUUUUUUUAUUGCUGAGAAAUAUUCCAUUGUGUAGAUGUACCACAAUUUCUGUAUCCAUUCCUCAACUGAGGGGCAUCUGGGUUGCUUCCCUCUUCUGACUAUUACAAAUAAAGCUGCUACAAACAUGGUUG